rnacentral:rRNA from 1 species
CCUACGGUGGGCAGCAGUGGGGAAUAUUGCGCAAUGGGCGAAAGCCUGACGCAGCGACGCCGCGUGAGGGAUGAAGGUCUUCGGAUCGUAAACCUCUGUCAGCAGGGAAGAACGGUCACUGUGCUAAUCAGCAGUGAAUUGACGGUACCUGCAAAGGAAGCACCGGCUAACUCCGUGCCAGCAGCCGCGGUAAUACGGAUGGUGCGAGCGUUAAUCGGAAGUACUGGGCGGAAAGGGGUCGUUGGCGGUAUGUCAAGGCAAGGGUGAAAUCCCCGUGCUCAACGUGGGAACUGCCUUUGAAACUGGAAAACUGGAGGGUGGGAGAGGAUAGUGGAAGUCCGAGUGUAGGGGGGAAAGUCGGAGAAAUCUGGAGGGA